AGUGGAAACAGACCAGAUCUCAGCUCAUCUGGCUGGAAGGAAAGCAAAAAAACAAAGCAAAACAAACCAAAAAAUCCUAAGAAACAAAAGACAUAUUCAAGCCAAUCUGUGAUUUGUAAAAUAAGCAAGGUGCAGGCUUGUGUGCCUUCAGCUGAAUGUAAGAAGUCCAGCUAUCAUGAGGUCACCAUGUGGACAGACAACUCAGAGGAAUGAGAGAGAGAGAGAGAGACCUGAGCAGCUAGCAGUGCCAGCACCUAGAUGUUUGAAUCUUCCCAGCCCAGAUAUAUGACGCAAAAAACUUCAAGAUGCCCAUUGGACAGCAACCACAUGAAAGACCCGGAGUGAGAACUCCUAAGCUGAGAUCCCACUCUUUCAGACUCCAGAGCCAAAUAAAUAAUUAUUAAUGUUUUAAGCCACU
rnacentral:antisense_RNA from 1 species